rnacentral:rRNA from 1 species
UUGAUCCUGGCUCAGAAUCAACGCUGGCGGCGUGCCUCAGACAUGCAAGUCGAACGAUUAAAGCACUCUUCGGAGAGUGCAUAGAGUGGCGCACGGGUGUGUAACACGUAAGUAAUCUACCUUCGAGUGGGGAAUAACCCGGGGAAACCUGAGCUAAUACCGCAUAACGCAGCGGCAUCGCAAGAUGACAGUUGUUAAAUGAGCAAUCCGCUUGAAGAGGAGCUUGCGGCAGAUUAGCUAGUUGGUAAGUUAACGGCUUACCAAGGCUACGAUCUGUAUCCGGUCUAAGAGGACGGUCGUACACACUGACACUGAAUAACGGGUCAGACUCCUACGGGAGGCAGCAGUCUGGAAUUUUGGGCAAUGGGCGAAAGCCUGACCCAGCAACGCCGCGUGAAGUAUGAAGUAUUUCGGUAUGUAAACUUCGAAAGAAUAGGAAGAAUAAAUGAUGGUACUAUUUAUAAGCUCCGGCUAACUACGUGCCAGCAGCCGCGGUAAUUAGGU